UAACAAAUAUCAAAGGUACCCUUCGUAAUUGGGCGGACUAUUUAAACUUACGUUGCCCUGCCUCCUCCUUUGGUCUCAUAUGCCACAUUGCUGAACUCGGAACAGCCAACCCCGCUGUGACAUUGCUGAAAACACUUGUUGCUAAUACUGUUACUUAUAAUGUUGUAGUUAAUAGACAAGCUAACUUGCCAACAGCCACGUCGUAUGUAUUCCCCAAUAUUGUUGACUCGUUUUGGACGGCUCCUGCUGAAGAGUUAGCUGUUAAUGCCGAACACAACGCUAAUUUCACCAAGUUCCUCACCUGACAAAAGAUGAGCAUCCUCCAGAACUUGCACCCUCUCCUGUAAGCUGUGAGCUUCUUCUCUAUUUCCUCUGUGAGAGAGAACAAGGGUGGGAUUGAUGUGAACGACAGAGACCAAGAGAGGAAAAAGGCUCAUUUUAUACACCAUUUAUUCAGUUUGACUUAACCAACACAUGAAACACUGCAGCCUUGCCACCAUGUUCUGUGACCAAAAGGAGAAGGUUGGUUUUCCCAAAGCUGUGCAGAGAGACAAGAAUUAUCUGAAGAAGAAGAAAUGAUCUCCGAGAGAACAAGUUCCUGCUUAUAACAAGGAGAAUCUGAGAUGUGGAACAACUUUGACAUUACUGUCAGCAACAACAAGAUUUUGGGUUUUAGUAAUUGACACAUUUGGAUUUUAAUUGGGCUUUUCUGGUUAAAAACAAAAUCCACAUCGUUUGAAUCUUGUUGGGAGUCUCAUCUUGACAUCCCAGCCUCUGUUUUCUUAAAUGACAAAUUCAGAAUAAUGUGAUAGUAGUCUGUCAAAACAGUUUUUUUUUUAAAUCACAAAAUAAUUGUUUUCCAAGCUUUUCCAAACACAACAUAAUCAUAAGUCCCUUUCACACAUAUUUCCAUUCUGACUUUACAGUACUACACCAGAAAGUAAUGGCUUCAACAAAAAGGUUUUCACUACAAAAGGUCAAGUAAAUUUGCAAACUAAUUGCCUAUUUUUGUGUGAGGAAGAACAGAACUGUUCUAAGUCUUUCAUGUGUAAACAUGUAGAGGAAAAACUACUAAAUGUCUUAUCUGCAGUUAAGUCAUAAAGUCAAAAACGCUGAGUGUUGAGAUUUGCUGCCAAGUUUUGUAAAUUGUUUUAACACUUUAGACUUUUCUGAGCAACUCGUCACCUUGAUGCUACAUCUGCACUGGACAAGAAUAAAAAUAUAACCAAAACUCUUA